rnacentral:rRNA from 1 species
CCUACGGGAGGCUGCAGUGGGGAAUAUUGCACAAUGGGCGCAAGCCUGAUGCAGCCAUGCCGCGUGUGUGAAGAAGGCCUUCGGGUUGUAAAGCACUUUCAGCGGGGAGGAAGGCGGUGAGGUUAAUAACCUCAUCGAUUGACGUUACCCGCAGAAGAAGCACCGGCUAACUCCGUGCCAGCAGCCGCGGUAAUACGGAGGGUGCAAGCGUUAAUCGGAAUUACUGGGCGUAAAGCGCACGCAGGCGGUCUGUCAAGUCGGAUGUGAAAUCCCCGGGCUCAACCUGGGAACUGCAUUCGAAACUGGCAGGCUAGAGUCUUGUAGAGGGUGGUAGAAUUCCAGGUGUAGCGGUGAAAUGCGUAGAGAUCUGGAGGAAUACCGGUGGCGAAGGCGGCCCCCUGGACAAAGACUGACGCUCAGGUGCGAAAGCGUGGGGAGCAAACAGGAUUAGAUACCCCAGUAGAC